rnacentral:sRNA from 1 species
GCCAGGUGCAGUGGCACACACCUGUAAUCCCAGUGGCUCAGGAGGCUGAGGCAGGAGGAUUGAGAGUUCAAAGCCAGCCUCAGCAACUUAUUGAGGCUCUAAGCAACUCAGUGAGACCCUGUCUCUA